CGAUGAUCAAAUAUUACAUAAGCAAAAUUUCUUCCUCAUAUUGAAAUGUGAUUUAUGCUUCAGGUUUGAUAUGUGAGUCAAUGCACUUUCACAUCAUAAACACACAAGACACUUUUAAAAAAUCGGAUAUCGAUUGUAGAACCUUUAAAACAGAAACAGUACUUGAUGCACCGUCAUACGAACCAAAAAACAUGUCAUGCACACUACAGAAUCACCCCUUGGCUUUCAGUUGUGUUGCUAAAAAUCCAAGCCAGGUCCGACUGUGUCCUUGCCGAGACUUUCAGCCUCAACAAGUUGCUUUAUGCAAAUCAUGUUCAUAAUUAGUCUAGUAGGUAURUAUAGUUUAUAAUAGAUUUAUGUUUUCAAAUUGAAAUAAUUCAUACAUAGGUAGUCAAUUCAACUAUAUUUAAUCAUGAUGGCAAUCCAGACUGGAUUGCAACAAUGCACUAACUUGUCGGAAUAAUGCAGAAAAACUUUUUUAUGAAAAUUAAAAAAUAUAUAUAUAUGAAAUAAGAAUAGUAAAUAUUUUUAUUGUAUAAAAAAGUUAAACUGAUGUCUGCGUUCUUAGUCUUUUAAUCGGAUAUUACAUUCAAGAGAAAGUUUUUAAAUGAUUAUUAACUGACAACUCGUUUCUAGGAUGAAAAGCUAUUUUAACAUUUGCAUCCCAAUAAUCCAGUUAUGUUAGUUAUAAAAAAUAGGGCAUUUUAAAAUAUUAGACAUAUUAGAUAUAUAGAGGAUAUUACAUGGGCGCGCGAAGAUACGGAUUUUAUCUUCGAGUGUUGAAAAGUUCUCUUUUCGAGUUAGCGUAGCGAAUGGUUAUAAAUAAUAUACAGAGAGAACCUACAUAGAGUGAGGUUAUUAAACACGUGAAACAAAACUUGACUAUUUUAAAAAGUAUGACAGUGCAAAAUAGGCACAAAAGAAAACAUUGCAAUUAGAGCGUAUUAGUAAUAUCUAUUUCUUCUGUCAUAAUAUCUAUAUGUUUUGUAUAAAUGCAGGCCCGUAGGCUGCCUUGCAAAUCAUGGGGGGUUUGUUUUUUCAUAAUGCGGAUCUAAAUUAUGUUUGUGUUUAUGUUUAACCAAAUUAGUUCAAUGCACAGUAUAGUGUGUAAGAACUGGAUGCUAGUAUGAGCAGUUCAUAACAAUUUUCUAUGUCAAAAACAGUUCAUAACAAAAGAAUUUUAAAAUAGAACAAUAAAAAAAGAGAAACACCGGACCUUUUAAGCUUGUGGGGGGUUCGUCCGAACCCUCCCAGCCUACGGGCCUGAAAUGGUUGAGUGCAAACUAUAUAGAUACACCUGUGAAUUUAGAUGGUGGAUAUUUUUAAUUAGAUCGACUACAGAGAUCAAACAAAUCAUUUUAAUCUCAGUCUUCGGGAACGUUAACGCUGUUUCGGUUGUCCGGCCAAAAGUAAAGUAGAAAUUUGUUGGAUCUAUAUCACAGUUAUUCUACUGAAAUAAUUUAAAUUUUGUUAUCUGAUUCACAGGUAUAUGUUGUUUGCUUUCUGUUGAAUAUUUAUAGUAAUAAAGAUGUUUCAACACUCA